GAUGGAUAAAAAGUAUAAACUUCAAACCUGACGGCAGUGACUUGAGCGACAACAUAUGCCGCGAACCAAUCAAGCUUGGCUUUCCCAACAGCCUUGGAAAGUGCCUAGGAAACACGUACAAGCUGUGCGAAGGUGGAGAAAUGGUUGAUGUUCCAUUUACAAUGUCAUUCGCUGCAGCAGUUGCGUGUGGAUUCACCGAGCUUGCGACCACAGCGCCGAUAGACACGUUCCGUACCAUAGGUUGUGACAUUGUAAAAGGCUCUCAAGCCAUGUUCGGAGUGAUACCAUUCAUCGGCUCUUCGACUUACGAAAUAGCAAAGGGUAUAAUUUGUUAAUCUACCUGGACUGUACCACGCUAUGUUUAUGAAAGUUGCAAUCCGUAGACCAAGCAAUAUUUCGCUAAUAAAGCGCAGUG
rnacentral:lncRNA from 1 species